rnacentral:rRNA from 1 species
UGCAGAAGAAGCACCGGCUAACUCCGUGCCAGCAGCCGCGGUAAGUACGGAGGGUGCGAGCGUUAAUCGGUAAUUACUGGGCGUAAAGCGCAUGCAGGUGGUUUGUUAAGUCAGAUGUGAAAGCCCGGGGCUCAACCUCGGAAUUGCAUUGAAACUGGCAACUAGAGUACUGUAGAGGGGGGUAGAAUUUCAGGUGUAGCGGUGAAAUGCGUAGAGAUCUGAAGGAAUACCGGUGGCGAAGGCGGCCCCCUCGGACAGAUACUGACACUCAGAUGCGAAAGCGUGGGGAGCAAACAGGAUUAGAUACCCCGGUAG